GCCCCGGAGCGAGCUUUGCCCCUUCCCCAGCACCGCGCGCACACGCAGCCGAAGAGGAGGAGCGGGAGCCGGAGCCGGAGCCGGAGGGGGCCGCGGGGAGAGGCAGUGGAAAGUGCUGAGUCGGCGCAUCCCGGCCUCCCCUGGUGUCUUGCUUUUGGUGGCAACUCAGUGCUGGCCGCAGUCAUGGUGGAGGCGGGGAGCGGAGGAGCAGCGUCGAGUUAAAGGCCAAAGGCAAGGGCUGGGGAGGGGAGCUCGGCCUGGGGUGUGUGGCAGGGACCCCUGGCCCUUCCCUCCCCUCUGCCCACUCUGCAUUUCUCCCCCUCAUCCCCCUUUCCCCUCAUCCAUCUUUCCCUUUCCUCUCUUGGGUUUUCCCCUCCCUAAUCCUUGGUUUCUGCCCCCCCCACUAGAGCCCUCAAUCCCAGCUCCACCAUCCACGUCUAGGCUCUCUGAGGUUUCCCUCCCUUGCUUUGGCACUCUCUGCCUCAGACCCCUGCCUCCCUCCCACGGGCUCCAGGGUGUCCCUCUGUAACCCUCGCACACCUCCCCACCAUCAGUUGUGCCACCAUGACUGUCAUGGCUGGAGACAACGUGGAUGAGACCUCUGCCCUGCCUGGCCACCCCCAAGACAGCUACCAGCCAGGUGCCCAUGACGACCAUGAGUGCUGUGAACGGGUCGUGAUAAACAUUGCUGGGUUGCGCUUUGAGACCCAACUGAAGACCCUAGCCCAGUUCCCCAACACGCUGCUGGGCAACCCCAAAAAGCGCAUGCGGUAUUUCGACCCCUUGCGCAAUGAGUACUUCUUUGACCGCAACCGGCCUAGCUUUGAUGCUAUCCUCUAUUACUACCAGUCUGGAGGCCGGCUCCGCAGGCCGGUCAACGUGCCUCUAGACAUGUUCUCUGAGGAGAUCAAGUUCUACGAGCUGGGUGAGGAAGCCAUGGAGAAAUUCCGGGAAGAUGAAGGGUUUAUCAAGGAGGAGGAGAGACCCUUGCCCGAGAAGGAAUACCAGCGCCAAGUGUGGCUCCUCUUUGAAUAUCCAGAGAGCUCCGGGCCAGCCAGGGUCAUUGCAAUAAUCUCUGUCAUGGUGAUCCUCAUCUCCAUAGUGAUCUUCUGUCUAGAGACUUUACCAGAUCUGAAGGAGGAAAAAGACUUCACAGGGACCCUGCACCGCAUUGACAACACCACCGUGAUCUACAAGUCCAACAUUUUCACCGACCCCUUCUUCAUCGUGGAGACCUUGUGCAUCAUCUGGUUUUCUUUCGAGCUGGUGGUGCGCUUCUUUGCCUGUCCGAGCAAAGCUGAGUUCUUCAAGAACAUCAUGAACUUCAUUGACAUAGUGGCCAUCAUCCCCUACUUCAUCACCCUGGGAACUGAGAUGGCUGAACAAGAAGGAACCCAAAAGGGGGAGCAGGCCACCUCUCUGGCUAUUCUGCGAGUCAUCAGACUGAUGGCUCUUGGGCAGCCUGCCCCAGAAUGGCAGAACAUGAGGAACUAAAGACCAUCACUUACUGCAGCAUCCACCAGGCAGGCAACCAGACUGGAGGGCUGCACAUUUUUUUCUCUUGGACUUCCCAAGAGUUAACGCACAAGCCCGACCUGCUGGGUUUACAGAAAGACUUGACUUCUCGCUUGUUUGGCAUCUGUGAAUCUUUAAUGAUGGGAAAGUGAUCAAGGACAGAAGGAACCUCUCCACUCAAAACAGCUGCAAAAUGUCUGGUAAAACAGGGCAUUCAGUUCUCCAGGUAGAUGACAUCAAGCUUCUUUCCUGGCCCUUAUCUGUUCACACCCUCCACGACACACCUGUCCCACCAAAAAUUAAAAUUUGGUGGUCCUGAUCUUUCCAAACUCUGAAUUCUAGGAUACAACUUCCCAUGUUGAAACUGACUUGAAUGCUGCACUCCAUUAAAAACAGCAAUAAUCAAUUCAGUGCUGUGGGACUGAUGAUCAGAAAGUAGCACCUGAGAGAUGAGGCCUCACUUUGGUAACUUGGUUUCUAUAGCAGUUGGGGGUCCGCAUCUUAGUUUAACUAACAGACUGAUGAUUAUUCUGCAUGUGUAAAGACAAGUGCAUGCAGUGGUUCUUUUUUGGCAGGGGCUUGGGUGAAUCAUUAGGGUGUGGGGUGGCUUGGGGAGUCUGAAUGUUGCUUACCCAUUUAUAGCUCAUUACAAAGGAACUAAUAAGUAUGGAGUACAGGGAUUUAAACUCAUGUAGCAUAGGCAUGUGUUUCUGGCAAGUUUGACAAAAAAGCUCUUACCCCUUGCACUAAAUGUGCUGAAAUGUCUUUGUAGGCCUGAAGGUGCACUUAACAACUGCCUGUUCUUACCAAUAAAUGUCUUUUUCUUUUUUACAUUUUGUUUUCUACUGUAUUUCUUUUGGUGAAUGGCUCAAGCUCAAAAUGAUUGUUUACUCCUGUGGAAGAGGACUGGAAAAAAUGGCCUGAUGGCCAAUUUAUCAUUUUCCUAAAGAAAAGGAAGAUGUCUUAGUUCAAUAGGGUGGUU